UCCUGGAUGGCUCAGUCGGUUGAGCGUCUGGCUUUGGUUCAGGUCACGAUCAUGCAGUUCGGGGGUUCGAGCCCCACGUCGGGAU
rnacentral:tRNA from 1 species